CAAGUCUCUCAUCAGAACUCUGAUUCGGUUCAGAUUCUAGUUCUGAACAACAACCUCUCUCCUCGAGGACCCUGACUCACCUCUCCAUAGUUGUUUGGUCCCGUGCCUGCCACCCCUCAUCUAUGAGGGGUCUGGCCCGGAAGCGAUCCUUAUUCUCCUAACCCAGAUUUGACACCUGGGUCUCUGGUUGCUUCCCUAAGACAGCCAGAAGCCACACUACCAAAAUGGUGGCUGCUAAAUCUUGAGACGGUCAUCGUUCCUGGAGACUGGCAGAGCUGAAUGGGUCAUUCUCUGGCCAGGGAGAGCCAUGCUCCUGCACCCUGGAAUGGAGGUCUGCCCUGGGCUCUGAAUCUUGGGGUUUGGGCUCUCCCGGAACGGUGGUCUCUCCAGACUCUGAACCUUGAGGUUUGGGCUCUCCUGGAAUGAUGGUCUCCCUGGAUUCUGAACCUUAGAGUUUGGGGUCUCCUGGAAUGGUGAUCUCUCCGGAUUCUGAACCUCGGGGUUUGGGCUCCCCUGGAAUGCCGGUCUCCCCAGGCUCUGAACCUCGGGCUCCUUGCCCAUUGCAUAGGCCCCAGCGGGUGCUGGAGAGUGCUGGAGUGCACACGGAACUCAGUUCAAACCUAAGGAACAUGGAGAAAUCCGGAUAUGCCCCGGUCCAUCCUCCUGGCUCCGAAGAGCACAGCUGCUUGUCAUUUAACUGCAUCAACACAGAUGGAUCUUGGCAUGAGAAGACAUUUGAUUUCCUAGUGACCCCGAGACUGCUGGCUUCCACUGUUGCGGGACGGUGGGAGAGGACAGACUCAAAUGAGUAUCAUUCUGAGGAGUUCCCAGAGAAGAGUCAAUUGUGGGGAGAAGUGCAUGAAAAUGACAAUUAAGAUAAGCCUUGGGAGUGUGGAUUUCAUUCUUGCUUGGUCUCUCUGCACCCCCAUUCCCCAAAACCCGGAGCAUGGAUCAAGGGAAUUUUUCUGUCCUGUCAGUCCCACUCAAAAUGGCUAAUUCCCCAUCCCCUCAGACUCUCUGGCCACCAAGUGCUAUCCCUUGGGGGACACCUGGGGGAACCAGUCGAAGAGAAGGGGCAAGAGUGUGGAUCAUGUGUCAAGAAAGGCCACGUGUUCUUGCUGUUCCACAGGCCAACAGGACACUCUAACAGGCCGAUGACUUGGGGAAAAUUUUUGAAAUCCAGGUGUUGUGGAUUUUGUCCACA
rnacentral:lncRNA from 1 species